UUGAGUUCUCAAGUACUCCUCUUUCACACUACAACUCUCACACACACACUACCCAAGAGGCAGGCACAUCAUUGAUUGCACACAAUUAGGAAGCAUGCUCUUCUCAAACCCUCACUAUUCAUCACACUAUCCAAGUCGUCAACAAUCAUUGCACUAUCGAAACCCUCAUCAACGAACAAUAAUCCAGGAAGCACAUUGAUCAUUUUGCACUCAAGUCCUCUUUGACAAAACCCUCAUCACACUACCAAGCACUCUCGCGCACUACCCAAGAAGCACGUACAUCGAUCACUCUUCUCAAACCUUCAUCAAUCAUCACUACACAAGUUGUCGAUGAUCGUCGCACUAACGAAACUCUCAUCGACAAACUUUAAUCAGCUUGCGCUCAAGCCCUCUUUGACGAAUGAAAAAAGUCAGUGAAAGUUGUUGAUAUGCUAUUGCGGAGGAACAUGAAGAUAUAUGGUGGUGUACUUGGUGGAGCCAUUGCUGUAUGGAUCUAUUUUGAGUUGGUUGGGUUAUUGUUGGCACAUGGAUUCUAUCAAUUGUGGGGAGCUGGUUCAAUAUUUCUUGACCUUAUUAUGCAUUGCUCCAAACAAGUGGUGCAGGUGGUGAUGUUGGCAUUGUAGUGUUACCUAGGACUAGUCAAAGAGCUAGUUCAUAGCCAGGCUUUGUGGGUGUCAAGGCUGUGGAGUGUGUGGCAAGAUGGUAGGAUCAAAUUGCAGGGUAUGUAACUUGAAUCUCACAUGAUGGACAUGGAGCUAGUUCUUGCAAUUGACUUUGACAUUAACACUAGUACAAAAGAGCUGAAAUUUGCUUUCAUUGUUGCUCUUGUGGUACUCAAGCAGCUGGUUUAUCGGAAAGACUAUAAGGAAUCAUUUAAGAGGCUUGAAGAGAAGGUGAUGCACAGUAAAAAAAAAGUAUGAGGAUUUUUGCUAAUUAUAAUAGCAAAACUACUUUGCACAACAGUGUUGAACAUCAAUUCAUUUGGAAGGAUUAAGGAACACAAAAUCUGACUUGUUAGUCUUGUUAAUUUCCCCUCCCACUUUAGGAUCUCAAUUAGUUAUCAAGUAUUUUAGGCAAUAUUUUAUAUUUUAUUAAUUAGCUUUAAUUUAUGUUUUAUUAAAGGGAAAUACUGCUUUUGUUACUAGUUUUGACUAUAAUCGAAUGAUUAAAGAUUUUUUAAGUUACUACACAUUACAUGGUGAUUACUUGAUUGAAAAAGCUUAAGAGGGGAGAAAUUGGUAAAUUAUGCUAUCAUUAUUUCUAUUUAAUAUCUUCAAUUCACUUUGCGCUACAUAUCAAUGUUUUGUUUUGCAAUAAUAUUUGUGCAAAUGGUAGUCCAAGCCAUAGAGACAUAAUCUACUGUGUGGUGACACGUAGAUGUAAACUAUAGUCCCUUCACACUACACAAAACCUUAACCACUAACUUGCUACUGCUAGCUCACACUUGGCUUUUGGCUAUUAACAUGUUUAGGUGAAACUGAGGACAGUAUCAUGGAAGUUAAUUGCUUCACCUUUCUCAAGUCAUGACUUAUACUCGCAUCAUGUUUCUGUAGAUUAUUCAUGGGUUUCUUGCCAAUUGAUAUUAUUAAAAAACUUAGCCAUAGCAUCUAUCUACCCUGAUGUUGCAGAAACAAAUCAGAAGAAGAUUGUAGAAGUGUUAGAUAAUCUUAAACUUUAGAGAUAUCCGAGUUAGUUAUUCGGAAUUAUUUGUUUAGUCUGUUUUAUCUUUUGAGUUAUUUGUUUUAGUUUAGAUAAGAUAGUUUUUGAUAAGUUUUGUUUUGAUAAGAUAUUUUAUUAUCUUCUUGUUAGUUCAGUACGUUGUACA